AUGCACCUUCCCGAUCCCCAUCUACCUCCUCGUGCGAUAGACAUGCUCUGCUUCCUCUUUUUCCUCGAUCAUUGCCUUCAUUCGCUCAGCUCACUCAAGCCCAUCUUCUCCUCUAGAAGAUUCAGUGCAAAGCAGCUGGAUCUAGCGACCUCUCUUGCAACCCGACUGGAUUCCGUGUUGGUGCCACUCUCUCUAUGUCCAGGCAUGUUUUGCUGGCUCUGCUUCUCUUGUAGAAGGGAGGAUUUGGCUGCUUUCUCAAGAAUCUUCUCAGAUUGUUUGAGCAGAGGUCCCUUUGGACCACCUGUAUUUCAAGAUCUAGAGCUAGGGGAUCCGUCGACACCCUCCAAGAAUUGCUUGUCGUUGCAACUGAUGCAGAUUUUGUCAGUGACUCCUUUUAGUGAUUUGUAUGGCGUCAAUCCAUACCAUUCCCCAGACAAUCAGCUAAUUCACGCCAAAGUUCCAGUGGCUAUUCUCCUCGGUGGAUUAGCUCUUGAUUGCAACAACAACAUGGAGAUGGAUGACCAUUGUUGCAGAGACAACACCGGAACUAUACUUGAGAUUCAAGAUCCCAAUGAGUAUAAUUCCUCUAGCACUGGUGAUAUUCACGUACAUCAAUUGGGAUUAGUUUCUGACCAAGUCCUACAAAGCAAACAUGCUUUCUCAUGCUACUAG
rnacentral:rRNA from 1 species